CCCAGACAGCCAGGAUGUUGGCUUAGAAGCAGCCAUCAUUUAAAGAAAGCGUAAUAGCUCACUGGUCGAGUCGGCCUGCGCGGAAGAUGUAACGGGGCUAAACCAUGCACCGAAGCUGCGGCAGCGACACUGUGUGUUGUUGGGUAGGGGAGCGUUCUGUAAGCCUGUGAAGGUGGCCUGUGAGGGUUGCUGGAGGUAUCAGAAGUGCGAAUGCUGACAUAAGUAACGAUAAAGCGGGUGAAAAGCCCGCUCGCCGGAAGACCAAGGGUUCCUGUCCAACGUUAAUCGGGGCAGGGUGAGUCGACCCCUAAGGCGAGGCCGAAAGGCGUAGUCGAUGGGAAACGGGUUAAUAUUCCCGUA
rnacentral:rRNA from 1 species